rnacentral:siRNA from 1 species
CUCAUUUGUGGUUUUGGAGUGCAU